rnacentral:rRNA from 1 species
AUGGAAUUGCAGAUCUAUUUUGUUAAAGAAGAAUUACUUGUGGUCCUUAAGAACCAAAUGAUUUAUUGGAAGCAAAGAGGGAGAAUCAAAGGGGUUAAAUUUGGAGAUGAGAACACAAUUUUUUUUCACACAAAAGCAACCAUAAACCUUAGAAACAAUCACAUUGCUAUUCUUCAGAACGAUGACAAGGUGAAGAUUACUGAUCAUGAUGGAAAAUCAGCUAUUUUGUGGAAUGCUUUCAAGCAAAGACUGGGCAUGACUGAAGAAACUACUAUGCAUUUUGAUCUCCGGGAUAUUUUACAUCAACAACUUGACCAUGCCCUCUUUGAAAGUUUGGAAACUCCUUUUAUUGAUCAGGAGAUAAAUGAUGUAGUUAAGGAACUACCCAAUGACAAAUCUUCUGGUCCUGAUGGUUUCAAUAAUGAGUUCUACAAAGCUUGUUGGGGUAUCAUUGGUUCAGACAUCAGGCAACUAGUUCAUGAUUUCCAUGCAGGGAACAUCAAUUUGGAAAGCAUUAAUUCCUCAUACAUCACUCUCAUUCCAAAGGUGGAUUGCCCCAUAUCACCAAAUGACCUAUAUCCUUGCUAA